AUGGCACAUCUGGAUGAUGCUUGGCAGGUAGUGGAGUGUUUGACUUGCCUUUUGCUUCGAAAAUUAAUUGCCAAAGUGGUUUCAGUUCACAAUUCAUGUAAGUUAAUCACUUGUCAGACAGAUCUGAAGAAGCUUAAGAGGAAUCCACAAUUAGUGAAAAUGCCAAGAGUUAGCGAUCUUUUAGGCACUCAUCCAUUAGUCAGCAUACUGCCUGCUGCUGUGCGUGCUCCUUUGUUAAGCAAUACAAAAGAAAAAGUAAAAGGGCAUGGCGCAGCCCUUUAUAUGGAAGGCUCAAGAGCAACUGGUAUAUGGAUUGUUUCGAUCAGAGCAGUAAAGUGGAGAAGUCAGAGGCUAAGCAGCAGGCAUUCUCUGCACCCAAUUUUCUCACAUGGAAGCACUUUGGGUCUAUACGAGGUGCUAACAGGAAUGUCUUGUCUCUGUGACAUGAUUACAGAUUCUCUCGUGCGCUGUUUCUUCAUUGAAGCGGAAAAGAUAGAUCAAUUGCGUCGGUCAGAUCCUUCUGUUGAGGCUUUUCUGUGGCAGGAAAGUGCCGCAGUCAUUGCUAAGCUCUUGAUCCCACGUGUGUUCGAGAGAAUGACAAUGCAAGAGACGCGGCUUCUCGUCAGCACAGGAUCUACUAUGAACUUGUACACCAAGGGUGUAGACAUCAUGCUCGAGCAUAAUUACAUCGGCAUCUUACUAGAAGGAACUUUGAAGGCGGAGAACCAAAACAGCAUCGUACCUCCAGGAGUCCUCUGCUGCUGCCAUCAAACAUGGACCUGGAGUUACUUGGUCUGGAGUCUUCUGCUAUGA
rnacentral:rRNA from 1 species